CUAGAUGGUUUAUCUGGGCCUGCUUCAUUUGGGCCAUUCUUGCUAAUUCAUUUUUAUCUGGACAUGGGACUUGUCUCGAGGAUUCAUUUUGAUCUUGAACUUCUUGGCCCAACUUCAAAUCAUAGCCCAUAGGUUUUUUUCUAUGAAAUUCAGCGUUAAUUUCAAGCCCAGUCCCUUCUUGUUUCUUCAUCGUGGUCUCCAUAUCAUGCAUCCGGAACCCCUCUAUGCAGUGUUCCAAUUUCUUCCCUUCCAAUGAUGACAGUGGAGGCUCAGAGGGUUGACAUUGGUGUUCUUUCGUGGCUGUCUCUGAGCUUCCCAAUUCCGAAUGCUUCGAGGCUGAAAUUUCUUUAUCACUGGAGACCUCAUCCUUAUCCAACGAACUUUGCCCAUAGACGAGAUUUUUCCCCAGUACUCCAUGUGAUAUCACCGACCACGGCGUUGAUACGUUUUUUAUAAAUCUCUGAUUUUCUCUGAUGGUAGAUUUUUCAUGGCUGUUGUCGUUCUCCAUUCUUCCUGAAUCCUCUUAGCUACUUCGUACAACUGUGCUCUCUCCCGCAUUGUUAAUUUUAACUGAAAUUUCUAGAAUGUGUUCACUUCUUCUGCAUGAUGCUCGAUUGUAAUCUUCUCCCUCCACCGAUAAUAUAAUCUUUUUCCCAAUUGCAGCAGAUCGGAGCUAAAACGAGAAUAAUGUGAUGAUUUUUAGGUUGGAUUACGUAGGUUAAUUGAGUAUGAAUGGGGGUUGGAUAAGAGUGUAUAAGUGGGCUAGAAGCUAGAUUUAAGUGGUUUGGGCUACUGUAAUUAAUUUAGGCCUGCCUUACUAUAUCAUUCAUAUCUUCCACGUGUUGGGCCAACUCCAUAUCGUAGUCCAACCCUAUCUCCUUCAGCAAUUUCUUUUUGUUUCUACUGUCCAGAUUCAGAUUCUUCAGUUUUAACCCAUUACCAGAGAAAUUUCCCCAUCAUCGAGCUCUGUCAUCUUCUCCACCUUUGGCAAUAGUAAUGCUAAGAUUUCGGUUGAACUCCCAUCUCUGAUGAUUCUCUUAGGCCGAUCCUGGUGCGCUCUAUUCACCCCAACUUUACCAGAUCAAUGUGGAUAUGCAUGGGUAAUUCCCGAUGAAGUAGCGACCUCCUUUUCCUUUCUAGCCAGCUCCUUCCAGCGAUCUGUGCUACGGCUAUUUGCUCCGACUUCCUUCAAUUUUGGAAAGCUCUCAGAAGCGAUGGUGAGUUUCAGAUCCACAUUGUUUUCGGUCAGAUUAAGUGCAAUUCCCUUUUCUUUCCUACCGCUUUCGUGAAUUUCCUUUUUCUACAAUUCGAAUUUCUCCUCCUCUUCUAGUGAUGACAGUUCCUUUGUGCAAUGGAAUAUUUUCUCCACUGAUGAUGACGAUGGGGACACAUGUACUUUACCUGGCUAUUCUUCUCGUGCCGUCUCCCGAUUCAACUCAUUCCCCUACUUCCAAUCUGAAAAUUUACCAACGGAGAUCUGCUUCAUGGGAAAUCAAACCAUCAUCCUCACCUUCAAUUCUACCCAAGUCUCUAUUGGAUAGCUAUUGUCUAUCUUUUGGAACCAUGCCCAAGUCUCUCCAUAAAAGCAAGCAACUGUGGCUUCUACCUUUUUCCUCUCCGGUAAGCCGCGAUUCUUGUCUAGGCAUCAUUUUACCUCAAUCAGCCACGAAUCUAAAUUGUCCCCAUAGAAUAACAAUGUGUUGAGUCAGCCACAUGAACCCAACCCUGAAUCAUCAUUUUGAUCUCCUUCAUGUCGCCUUAACCUCAUCUCCAACAUACUCAUUACGAAGUUUAAACUCUCCUGUACUUCUCUGCUAAACAUAGUUUCCCUUUAUCUAAGAAUCGAAGGCUCUGAUACCAAUUGAUAGGAUCCUAAUUACUUCUAUUGAAUUCUUCUAUUGAUGAAUAGAGUCGAUGCUGCUGUUGCUCCUAUCUGGACCUGUGAAGUGUUGAUGAACCUGUCUUGUGGAUGAUUACUGGAUCUAGUUAGGUAGUUAAUAUGGUGGCUGAUUUAUGUAAUGGAAAGUGCAGAUGUAAUUGACAAAAUAAGCAAUAUGAAUUAGCUGGGAAGGAUGGAUUGUGAACAAUAAAUUAUUGUACUGUUUAUUCAAAUGAAAUGAAGAACGUAAAGUAAAUGAAAUGAAAAUUCCCAAGGCAUUCGAGAUGUCUUGGUCUCUCCCCAGUUUUCCCAAUCUUUCCUAAAUGAUUUCUCAGUUUUCUCCCUCAUUACAUUUAUAGAGAAUUUACUAGUUUGUUAUUACAAUUCUACCCUUUUCCUAACUAUGGAAUUCUCUAGAAUAGUAAACUAAUAACAACUUGUAUUGGAAUAUUGGAGAUGGGGAUCUACCAAGGAGCCACGAGAAUGAAAAGAAAAGCAAUCUUCUGAGAUGAGAAAAAAGAAAAUAGCGAAUUUCUUUUUAAAAGAGAGUGAGCUAAGGAGAGCGGCAGUCGAGAAAAGGGAAAUGAUUUUGUUGGUCUACAAAGAGUCACUUCUCAAUUUUGAGAAAACUAAUCCAUCCCUCCCCAGUUUGGCUAAAUCUUUAUUACAAGAGUUCGAGGAUGUAUUUCCAGAGGAUGUACCUAAUGGAUUGCCACCCAUUCGAGGCAUUGAGUACCAAAUUGACUUCAUACCGGGAGCUGUCAUUUCCAACCGACCAGCUUACUGAAGUAAUCCCGAGGAGACAAAUGAGCUUCAGAGGCAAGUGAAGGAGCUGAUAAGCAAGGGCUAUGUUAGGGAGAGCAUGAGUCAGUGUAUCGUACUAGUACUGUUUGGUGCCAAAGAAACAUAAGACAUGGAGGUUGUGCAUGGACUGCAGAGCCAUCAAUAAUAUAAUGAUAAAGUAUCGUCAUCCUAUCUCUAGAUUAGAUGACAUGGUGAUGAAUUACAUAGUGCAUACAUUUUUAGUAAAAUUGAUCUUAAAAGUGGUUAUCAUCAAAUCCGAAUAAGGGAAGAAGAUGAGUGGAAAACUGUAUUUAAGACCAAAUAUGAACUAUAUGAGUGGUUGGUAAGGCCACUUGGACUCACUAAUGCACUGAGCACUUUCAUGAGUUUAAUGAAUCAUUUUUUGCGUUUUUUUAUAGAAAAAUUUGUUGUGGUUUAUUUUGAUGACAUUUUAGUGUACAGAAAAGACCUAAAUAAGCAUGUGGAGCAUUUAAGAAAUGUGCUAGUGGCGUUAAGGAAAGAACAUCUCUACGCAAAUUUUAAGAAAUGUACUUUUUGCAUAGAAAAUGUCGUCUUUCUAAAUUUUGUGGUUAGUGCAAAUGGAGUAGAGAUAGAUGAGGAGAAGAUAAAAGUUGUUAAAGAUUGAUCUACACCUAAGAGUAUAAUCGAAGUGAGGAGUUUUCACAGGUUGGCUAGUUUUAUAUGCGGUUUGUAAAGACUUUAGCACAAUCACUAUACCACUCACGAAAGUAGUAAAGAAGAGCAUAGGCUUUCAUUGGGACGAUAAAUAGGAGCAUGCAUUUAAUACUAUUAACGAUAAAUUAUGUAAAGCACCUAUUUUAGCAUUACCUAAUUUUGAAAAAAAUGUUCAAGAUUGAGUGUGAUGUAUCAGGAAUAGAUAUUGGAGCAGUUUUAAUGCAGGAUAGGAGGCCUAUAGCUUAUUUCAGUGAAAAGAUGAGUGGGGGUUGUACUAAACUACCUAACUUAUGACAAAGAGCUAUACUCAUUUGUUCAGGCGUUGGAAACAUGGCAGAAUUACCUAUGGCCUAAGGAGUUCAUUAUUUACACCGAUCAUGAGUCGUUGAAGCACUUGUAAGGUCAAGGAAAGCUAAAUAAGAGGCACGCCAGUUGGAUGGAGUUUAUUGAAACAUUUCAUUACGUCAUUUGGUACAAGCAAGGUAAAAAAAGUAGUGGCAAAUGCUUUAUUUCGAAUGUAUGCAUUGUUAAAUUCACUAAAUGCUAAAUUACUUGGCUUAAAACAUAUUAUGGAUAUGUAUGAAAAUGACUUAGAUUUUUUUCGAUAUUUACAAAUCAUGUGGUAAGGGGGCUAUAGAUAAGUUCUUUUAAACACGAGGAGUACUUGUUUCGAGAAAAUAUGUUAUGUGUUCCUAAUUGUUUAAUGCGAGAGUUGCUAGUGAGAUAAGCACAUAGUUGUGGAUUAAUGGGGCACUAUGUGGUACAAAAGAUUUUAGAGAUGUUAGGGGAGCAUUUCUAUUGGCUUAAGAUGAAAUGUGACGUCGAGAGGAUUUGUGGUAGAUGCAUACCUUACAAGAGAGCUAAGUCUAGAGUUUUACACUAGGGACUAUAUACACCAUUACCUAUACCUAGUGAACCAUGGGUUGAUAUUUCAAUAGAUUUUAUUUUGGGUUUACCUUGGACUAAGAAAGGACACGAUUCAGUUUUUGUGGUGGUAGAUAGAUUUAGUAAGAUGGCGCAUUUUAUACCAUGUCACAAAACCGACAAUGCCAAAUACAUAGUGGAUUUGUUCUUUAAAGAUGUGGUGUGUUUGCAUGGGGUUCCUAAAAGCAUAGUGUCGGAUAGAGAUGUAAAAAUUUUAAGUCAUUUUUGGCGAGUUUUGUGGGAUAAGUUGUAUUACCCCGAGCUUCACGUUAUACAUAUGGGCAAUAUGAUUCAUGCAUUUCAUGCUAAUUACAUUGUCAUUUGCAUCAAUUUUCUAAUUGCUUUAUCUUAAAACGGUGCAUUCGAUCAUCGAGGCUUUAAAAUCUUUAUAUGGUGGUAAUCUUUGAAUCCUUGACAUAGAUGUUGAACUUUACAUUGAGCUAUGAAAGAAAAUUAGGUUAACUAAAUGUUGGAGAUUGACUUGGUAAGUAAUGGAAAAUCGAAAAUGUCGAAAAUUAGUAUCGACAAAGGUUCAAGUUUUCCAUUUCGUUAAUCGAGGUCAUCUCAAACCUUAGACAGGUAAUUGACAUAUUUGGGACAUGAGGCAUGAAGUGACAUGAUCACGAUGUAAUAAUAUAUGUUUCCUAUGACGUUAUAAAUAUUAAGAUGCGAAUUGUUGAAAUCGUUCGAGAAUUGAGAGUCGAUCGAGUAAGUAAUUAUAUGAAUGGUUGAGAAAUUAGCUCUAUAAUAUAUUUUGGGAUCUUAGGGAAAGUGAAAUGGAUUUAAACACGUCAAAUUAUCCAAGGAUACUUGAUUUGUACCUGCAAAGAUAGAUAUAAAAUCAUAUUAUGCUACAAGUGACCACCUCAUUCUUGAACACCUCGUGCUUGGGAUGUUUGUUAUUUUAACAAUCAAUUUCUUCAACCUUAAGGCAUCAAUCUAAUGUCUACUCCCUAAGAACUUAAUAUAGGAUGAAUAUAUAUCUUAAAAGUCACAAAUGGAUCCAAAUAUAUAAUGGUUGAAAGUCAAGUAUUGCUGCAAAGAAGACACAUCAUGCUUGGACUGCUCAUGCUUAAGGAUACUUGUCCUUUGUUCACAUUUUUCUUCACCCUUAAACAAUACUCACGACCCCAGUCCUUAAGAAUACUUAUACAUAUCUUAAAUAAUACAUUUAACCUUCCAAAUUUAUCCUCAAGUGACCCCAAGAGAAACAGAAAGCAAAGGAAGUAAAGAGAAAUAGAAAAAUAAGAAACUGGAAUUGCAAUUUAAGCAGGUUAGUUCAAUUCACGGUUUUGAAUUUUUUUUCCUUAGUUCUUUUGGGUGUUUUAUAACCUAUUCAAACUAUAAACUUGCUUGAAAUUAUGUGGGAGGUUUUGGAUAAUUUUAUGAUGGCAAAAUAAGGGAGAUUAAUUACAAGAACUUGAGGGAAAACAACCUGGGUAGAUGCAGGUUGCUGGAUUUGAGUGGUUUAUACUUUGAUUUUGGGAUGAUACUUAGUGUGUAACUUAUAUCUAUCAAUAUGAACAUUUUUAUAUGUAAGUAUGAAGUGUAGAAAUGAUUUUAAAUGGCUCAUAAUUCUAUUGGUAUCAUACUAAUACAAUGGAAACCGAAAACUAUCGCGAGGAAAAUAAAACUGCUAGAUUUUGUGUAGUGGAAAAUGGACUGUUUUUGAAGCUCAAAAUCCUUCAUUUGUCACAACCUUAUGACCUGAUUAUCUUCAAAUAUAUUUUAUAGGUGGGUGGUAAGAAUUUGGGAGUCGUUGGAUAGAGUUAAGGAUGAGAAAAAGCAUUAGAAAAAAAUAAUUGGACGGUAAUGAAAAUCUGAAAACAGAUUCUGUCCAUUUGGGUAUUUAAUGUGAUUUCAACAUUUAUAAGUUCAUUAUUGGUCUCUUGGACCUAUAAAAUAGAAUCUAAGGAGUACUAGGUUAAUGAAAACUAUUGGAUGACGCUGACAUUCAUAAUUGGACUCAAGAAAUAGCGAGACUUAUGGGAUUAGUUUGUAAUGCCAUCAGUAACUUGAAAUAAUGAUUUCGUCUAAAUUGUUUUGGCAUGAAUGGAUGUAUUUUGGGAUUGUGUGUGUUAAGGUUAUUAAAUGGAGGAUUGUCUUUAAUAUUAGAUGGUAAUGCACGUGAUUUUGUGACGUUGAGCAACAAAGAAAUUGAUAUACACUGCACAGGAGCUUGCACACACAAAGACGAAAGGUAAGUAAAAAUCCAUUUGCAACUACGAUGCAAGAGCCUAGUAUUUGUGAUAUGGUAAUGUUGUAAUAGUUACAUAACUUUGAUAAGAGGUUUAUUACACAUCAUAUGAUGGUUAUGAUCGUUGAGUAUGACGUUGGGGAACCUAUUGACAUCUAUUUUUAUUAAGUAUAUCAUUUAUGAGCAUUUUCAUCUGUAUACACGACAUGUGAUCAUGGUUGAAAAUUCUGCAUGUGAAACAUGAUUCCAAAUUGAGUUUUUCUUAUAAAUAUUUUAUUGACCACUAAUGGGGUACCAAGACAUAUGAGGCAUGCUUAUGUGAUAUGUUUUGGUAUCGCGGGUGAUACUUCCUGGGUGAUUGCAAAGGUAGACAGGGGAUGGACCUUUGGUGAUCACAGGAGGGCGAACCACUUGACAAUGCCCUUGUGAUAUUAUAAUUAUUAACGCUGUCGGUGGGAUACUUCUUGGGGGAUCAUAGAGGUAGUUAGAGGAUAGGCCUCUUGUGGCCACGAGAGGAUGGUCCACUCGCCGGUGUGAAUUUUAUAUUGGUCAUUUGAUUAUUGAUAUUAUGCAGAGCUCUAUCCAGUGCCUAGUAGGUGGGUCAAGGGACCAAUGAAAUUAAAGAUUUCAAAUGAAAUGAUUUCGGGUCGACUUUGAUAAAUAUUGGAAUAUGAUGCAUCUUUAUCGUGAUUUUAAAGUAAAUGGCACAGUUGCAUAUAUCGUUAUUAUUCAUACUCAUGACAUGCAUGAUUUUUACUUACUAAGCAUUGACUUAUGUAGUUCUUGCAUUGUAGGUGAGCAUGGAACUACAUAGAGAGCACGACUAGCAAUGGAGCUCUUACAGGAUUCUAGAGUUCGAUGUACAUGGAUGACGACCCGUAGAGUUAUUUUGUGGGCUAUUAUUUUGAGCGUAUGCUCUAUUGUGUUAUAUGUUAGGGAUCCUGUGUUGUAUAUCUUUUAACAUGGCCUGUAGACAUGUUUAUAACCUCAAAAUAUAUAUGUUCGAUUAUGGUGAUAUGA
rnacentral:lncRNA from 1 species